GAUCCAAAACCGGGGUGUUCAUAAUUCAAUCGCGUCAAACUCUUUUUCGCUGCUCUCAACCUCGAUGAUAAUUUUCAUCACGAUGCAGAAAACGUUUAUGAAGAAGAGGAGUAAAUACACCAAAAAGCCUGAACAAUCCGUGAUUUUUUCAAAGAAAAAAAUAAAACAAUUAAUUUAAAUGUA